GAUGAACGCUGGCGGCGUGCCUAAUACAUGCAAGUCGAGCGAACAGACGAGGAGCUUGCUCCUCUGACGUUAGCGGCGGACGGGUGAGUAACACGUGGAUAACCUACCUAUAAGACUGGGUUAACUUCGGGAAACCGGAGCUAAUACCGGAUAAUAUAUUGAACCGCAUGGUUCAAUAGUGAAAGACGGUUUUGCUGUCACUUAUAGAUGGAUCCGCGCCGCAUUAGCUAGUUGGUAAGGUAACGGCUUACCAAGGCAACGAUGCGUAGCCGACCUGAGAGGGGGAUCGCCCACAUUGGAACGGAGACCCGGUCCAAACCCCUACGGGGGGCCGCAGUGGGGAAUUUUCCGAAAGGGGGGAAAGCUUGACGGAGCAACGCGCGGUGGGGGAUAAAGGUUUUGGGAUCGUAAAACUCUUUUAUUAGGGAAAAAAAAAUUUGUAAGUAACUAUGCACGUUUUGACGGUACCAAAUCAGAAAGCCACGGCUAACUACGU
rnacentral:rRNA from 1 species